rnacentral:rRNA from 1 species
AGUGAACGCUGGCGGUAGGCCUAACACAUGCAAGUCGAACGGCAGCACAGGAGAGCUUGCUCUCUGGGUGGCGAGUGGCGGACGGGUGAGGAAUACAUCGGAAUCUACUUUUUCGUGGGGGAUAACGUAGGGAAACUUACGCUAAUACCGCAUACGACCUACGGGUGAAAGCAGGGGACCUUCGGGCCUUGCGCGAUUGAAUGAGCCGAUGUCGGAUUAGCUAGUUGGCGGGGUAAAGGCCCACCAAGGCGACGAUCCGUAGCAGGGCUGAGGGGAUGAUCAGCCACACUGGAACUGGGACACGGUCCAGACUCCUACGGGGGGCAGCAGUGGGGAAUAUUGGACAAUGGGCGCAAGCCUGAUCCAGCCAUACCGCGUGGGUGAAGAAGGCCUUCGGGUUGUAAAGCCCUUUUGUUGGGAAAGAAAUCCAGCUGGCUAAUACCCGGUUGGGAUGACGGUACCCAAAGAAUAAGCACCGGCUAACUUCGUGCCAGCCGCCGCCGUAA